AUUGAACGCUGGCGGCAUGCCUUACACAUGCAAGUCGAACGGCAGCACGGGAGCAAUCCUGGUGGCGAGUGGCGAACGGGUGAGUAAAGUAUCGGAACGUGCCCAGUCGUGGGGGAUAACGUAGCGAAAGUUACGCUAAUACCGCAUACGAUCUAUGGAUGAAAGCGGGGGAUCGCAAGACCUCGCGCGAUUGGAGCGGCCGAUAUCAGCUUAGGUAGUUGGUGGGGUAAAGGCUCACCAAGCCGACGAUCUGUAGCUGGUCUGGGAGGACGACAAGCCACACGUGGACUGAGGCACGGCCCAGACUCCUACGUGAGGCAACAGUGGGGAAUUUUGGAUAAUGGGCGAAAGCCUGAUCCAGCCAUGCCGCGUGCAGGAUGAAGGCCUUCGGGUUGUAAACUGCUUUUGUACGGAACGAAAAGGUUUGGCCUAAUAAGCUGAGCUCAUGACGGUACCGUAAGAAUAAGCACCGGCUAACUACGUGCCAGCCGCCGCGGUAA
rnacentral:rRNA from 1 species